rnacentral:rRNA from 1 species
ACGAAGGGGGCUAGCGUUGCUCGGAAUGACUGGGCGUAAAGGGCGCGUAGGCGGCUAUGACAGUCAGAUGUGAAAUUCCUGGGCUCAACCUGGGGGCUGCAUUUGAUACGUGAUGGCUGGAGUGUGGAAGAGGGUCGUGGAAUUCCCAGUGUAGAGGUGAAAUUCGUAGAUAUUGGGAAGAACACCGGUGGCGAAGGCGGCGACCUGGUCCAUUACUGACGCUGAGGCGCGAAAGCGUGGGGAGCAAACAGGAUUAGAUACCCUGGUAGUCCACGCCGUAAACGAUGUGUGCUGGAUGUUGGGCGGCCUAGCCGUUCAGUGUCGUAGCUAACGCGGUAAGCACACCGCCUGGGGAGUACGGCCGCAAGGUUG